rnacentral:rRNA from 1 species
ACAGCAGUAGCCGCGGUAAUACGUAGGGUGCAAGCGUUAAUCGGAAUUACUGGGCGUAAAGCGUGCGCAGGCGGUUCUAUAAGACAGAUGUGAAAUCCCCGGGCUCAACCUGGGAACUGCAUUUGUGACUGUAGAGCUGGAGUGCGGCAGAGGGGGAUGGAAUUCCGCGUGUAGCAGUGAAAUGCGUAGAUAUGCGGAGGAACACCGAUGGCGAAGGCAAUCCCCUGGGCCUGCACUGACGCUCAUGCACGAAAGCGUGGGGAGCAAACAGGAUUAGAUACCCCCGUAGUCCCUGUCUCUUAUAC